UACGUAGGGUGCAAGCGUUAAUCGGAAUUACUGGGCGUAAAGGGUGCGCAGGCGGGUUUGUAAGUCUGUGGUGAAAUCCCCGGGCUUAACCUGGGAAUUGCGAUGGAGACUGCAAGGCUAGAGUUUGGCAGAGGGGGGUAGAAUUCCACGUGUAGCAGUGAAAUGCGUAGAGAUGUGGAGGAACACCGAUGGCGAAGGCAGCCCCCUGGGUCAAGACUGACGCUCAGGCACGAAAGCGUGGGGAGCAAACAGG
rnacentral:rRNA from 1 species